UAGAGUUGUAAAACCCAAGAGAGUGCUUC
rnacentral:piRNA from 1 species